rnacentral:misc_RNA from 1 species
AUUCCACUUAAGCCUCUUUGCUUAGUGUUGGGAAUCUACUUGAGCGGUGCUACCCGGGACUUACCCUGUAGCUACCCUGUAGUUCCUCAAAGACAGCGGCGGAGAUGUAGUAUCCUCUGAGCUUAGUAACUUGUUCCUAGCUUUCGAGUGGACUGCGCUUCUUGCCGUAAAACACCAUACUUUUCAAU